rnacentral:rRNA from 1 species
UACGUAGGGUGCAAGCGUUAUCCGGAAUUACUGGGCGUAAAGCGCGCGCAGGCGGUUGGGCAAGUCAGAUGUGAAAUCCCCGGGCUUAACCUGGGAAUUGCAUUUGUGACUGCACGGCUAGAGUGUGUCAGAGGGGGGUAGAAUUCCACGUGUAGCAGUGAAAUGCGCAGAUAUGUGGAGGAAUACCGAUGGCGAAGGCAGACCCCUGGGAUAACACUGACGCUCAUGCACGAAAGCGUGGGGAGCAAACAGG